CUUGUAAUAAAGCAUUCACGCUCACAGCCGCUCUUCUUCGUGUGUCGUAGCCCGCAGGAAGUUCUUCUCCCGGUCUCUGUGCGGUGCCCGGACGUUAGCCUUCCCAAGGUCGUCCACAGUCGCAGUUUCCGUCGCCGGCGUCGUGUCUCUCUUCAGCUUCUCCGGCAAGCAAAGACAGCGGCGGAACUACGUUAGCAACAGAGGGGGCAUAGAACUUUAUUUACUUACUCGUGCUUCGUUAUUUCUUUUGGUUUUUCGAGCAGGACAGCGGUGCUUCUCAGCUAAAAUUUCAGUUGUUCUGCUCUCUCUACCUCGAUCAUGGGUGCCAUAGAGGUGAAGGGAUGGUUUGUUGGUCCAUUCAUGAGCAAGAUCAUCAACG